UACGAGGGGGGCAAGCGUUGUUCGGAAUUAUUGGGCGUAAAGGGCGCGUAGGCGGACCUCCAAGUCCGGGGUGAAAUCUUUCGGCUUAACCGGAAAAGUGCCUUGGAUACUGGGGGUCUCGAGGGAGGCAGGGGCGGAUGGAACUUCCGGUGGAGCGGUGAAAUGCGUUGAUAUCGGAAGGAACGCCGGUGGCGAAAGCGAUCCGCUGGACCUCUUCUGACGCUGAGGCGCGAAAGCCAGGGGAGCAAACGGG
rnacentral:rRNA from 1 species